rnacentral:rRNA from 1 species
CCUACGGGAGGCAGCAGUAGGGAAUAUUGCUCAAUGGGGGAAACCCUGAAGCAGCAACGCCGCGUGGAGGAUGAAGGUUUUCGGAUUGUAAACUCCUUUUGUUAGAGAAGAUAAUGACGGUAUCUAACGAAUAAGCACCGGCUAACUCCGUGCCAGCAGCCGCGGUAAUACGGAGGGUGCAAGCGUUACUCGGAAUUACUGGGCGUAAAGAGCGCGCAGGCGGGAUAGCAAGUCAGAGGUGAAAUCCUAUGGCUUAACCAUAGAACUGCAUUUGAAACUGUGAUUCUAGAGUGUGGGAGGGGUAGGUGGAAUUCCUGGUGUAGGGGUAAAAUGCGUAGAGAUCAAGAGGAAUACUCAUUGCGAAGGCGACCUGCUAGAACGUAACUGACGCUGAGGCGCGAAAGCGUGGGGAGCAAACAGGAUUAGAUACCCCAGUAGUC